rnacentral:rRNA from 1 species
AGAGUUUGAUCAUGGCUCAGAAUGAACGCUGGCGGCGUGCUUAACACAUGCAAGUCGCACGAGAACGUUUCCUUCGGGAAGCUAGUAAAGUGGCGAACGGGUGAGUAACACGUGGGUAACCUGCCCUUAAGAUGGGAAUAACUUCGCGAAAGUGGAGCUAAUACCCAAUAAUAUUCCUGUUUCCAAGAUAUGGGAAUCAAAGGUAGCCUCUAUAUGCAUGCUAUCACUUGAGGAGGGGCCCGCGUCCCAUUAGCUUGUUGGUGAGGUAAUGGCUUACCAAGGCUCCGAUGGGUAGCCGGCCUGAGAGGGCGAUCGGCCACACUGGAACUGAGAUACGGUCCAGACUCCUACGGGAGGCAGCAGUGGGGAAUUUUGCGCAAUGGGCGAAAGCCUGACGCAGCAACGCCGCGUGGGUGAUGAAGGUCUUCGGAUCGUAAAACCCUGUCUUGCGGGAAGAAAUGCUUCGUCUUUAAUAAAGGCGUUG